UCUUCUUCUCCCCCCUCCCCCGGACCAACUCUCCCGUACACCUAGUGUUGCCCAAUCCAUGAACCUUCUCUCCGGAGCCGGCGCCGUCGGUAACUUCGGCCUCUCCCCGAGCACCUACACUCCGGCGGAGGCGGGGGAAGAGGCGACCUGCGAAAGCCCUCUAUCGAGCCCCUGCGCGAGUUCCUCCUGUGCGGACGCCGUCGCCGACCUCGAAGUCUACAAAGCGUAGCGCACCUGCAAGCCCGACGAGGCCCUUCGUCGACCCGCUCUGCGGGCUCUUCCCGCGUAGACGCCGUCACCCCGAGCACCUGCACGCCGGCGGAAGUGGGUGAAGCGGCGACCCAUCCGUGGAUUUCUGUGGUACCGGCACCCUUAGCAAACAGGGCCUCUCCCCCAGCACCUGCACGUCGGCGGAAGUGCGUGAAGCGGCGACCCGACAACGCCCUACAAAGAGCCUCUCCGCGGGUCCUUCCCGUGCCGGCGCCCUCAGCUACCUCGGCCUCUUCCAAGUGCAGCGAGUCGCCGAACCUAUCGACUGAUUCCAACCGUGGCGCACACUUCCUGAAGCUUGGACUCCGGCAGACCUCCUGAAGUUCGGCCUCCCGUAGCUAGCUCCAAGGGAAUAGCUUGACGAAGCAUAAAAGGCUGGCCUCCAUUUUCCUCUCUGAAUAUCUUUCAUUGAUAAUAUUAGGUCUCACAGUACAAUGACCACAAUUGCAUCUCUAAGUGAAUCUUUCAUUGAUAACAUUAGAUUUCACAGUGCAAUGGUUAGAGUUGCUUUUCUGAGUACAAUGGCCAGAAUUGCCUCUCUGAGUGAAUAUCUUUUAUUGAUAACAUUAGAAUUCACAGUGCAAUGGUUAAAGUUACUCUUCUGAGUAAAUUCAUAUACAUGGGAUCUUUUUGGCUUGAUCAGUGCGAUCUGAAAAUUUGCUUGGCUAUAAUUCAGUUUAUGUUUUGAUUGAUGAGGGCUGAAUCGUUGCGAAUAGGCAUGAUCUUGGUGCAUUCUGAGUAGAAUCUGUGGGGUAAGUUUCAGAUAUGGUGUUGAAAUUGGCAAUCUAUGAAGAGUUAAAUCAGUCAGGAUAGAUAAUUAGCAUAUAUCUUAACGAUUCUUCAGUCGAUAUUGCAGUGGAAGUAUACACUGUCAUUAAGUUUUUUAGUGGUGUAGUAAAUUCCAACUUGAUCUGUUAAGUUGUACAGUGAUCUCACUCCAACUUCAGCUGUCCAUUUUUAGUGCUAGACGUGUUCACAGCAUAUUGCAUAGUAAAAUCCCUGCCUGAUGGUUUGCCCUGAAUCAAUAUCUUUAAUCUAUCAAGACAUUACUAUAAUUCUGAAGACCGUAGCAUCUAAAUUCCGCUUGAAAUUGGGAUGUCCUUCUUCUUUGCCACAAUUCAUUACUACUUUUGAGUCCUCAAGCAACUGAAGUAGUCUGAACUGUCAACUAUAGUUCUUUUCAUAUGUGAGAUUGUGUGUCACCAGGUUAAUGCCUUAUUGGAACCUGCAAAACUGCUGCCUAUUUGGGAUUUUUUGAGAGUCACCAGGUUGAUUGGUGCGCCUACGCCGCACCCGUCGAGGUUUCCACAACGGUGGAUCACCAGGGGUUCGUCAGCCACGGCUUUCUGGCGUUGGUUCUUGAUCAGACCAAACUGCCAAGCAUCUACAUAAAGAGAGGAACUCGUUUUGCGGGUCGUUGACGACGAAUGACGACCGAGGCAGACCUGGAUCACCGCCAGAGGUGCUAAGAUGGUGGGGGAAA